rnacentral:lncRNA from 1 species
UUGUGCCAUAUAACAUGACAACAGUCCCUUCCUUCUACACCUCCUGUUGGUAUUGCUUCUGAGUCUCGCUGCCAGUUCUCCUUCCAAGCUUACUUGUUCCUAUUGAUUUCUUAUAACUUAGCAUUCCAUCACCAAACACUCUUCUUCCUAGGCAAACCUCUGGCUUCCUCCACAACAAGAUAAAUUGCUUACAUGAUUGUGAAGAUGUUGCUGUUAAUUUGCAACAAAACAGUAGCCAUUGUAGGCUGCAGAUUUAAGGCCUCCACAGAAACCAAUGACCUGAUUAUUUCACACUGCACUGCACAGAGCUAAAUACAAUUACUCCCUUAUCCCAGUGGAGAGGAAUUAGGAGUGCAGAAAGAGGGGAAACAUUAUCCUAGGAGAGAGGAAUGUACGGAGAAACUCAUUUGGAAGAGUGUGAGUAUUUACUGUGCAUGGUUCAGGCUUUAGGGAGUAAUUUCACUUCUCAGUUCUCUGUGUCUAAGGAAAGGCAAUUCCAUUAAAGGUUAGAAAUGCGGUAAAAGGUACUGUUUUCAUAACCUCCUGCCCACAGUGUUUCUAUGUAGUUCAUUAUGUUUUCAUUUUAUAGUGAUAAGGAGACUGUCGCAGCAGCAUCCAUCUACCAUACUGAUACAAACACCGAGGCUCGAUUACUUCCCCAAAUGUGAAUAUUUGUCGGAGGAUAACUAUUUGCUCAGAUUUCUGGAUCUCUGAAAAUGUUUUUCAAAAGUGGUUAAGGGUCUACCCCACUCUGAUUUGUUCUUCAAAUCAGUCAAUCGAAACAACACCACCACCACCACAAAUUGAGACAUAUGAGACAUGUGAUAAAUAACAUAAUCACACAUGUAGUAUAUGCACCCAUGUCACAUAUGCAGUAUAUGCACCCAUGUACAGCUUUAUUCACCCAGCUCUUUCAACCUCAAUGAGAUUUUAACCUAUUCUUUUCAUUUGCUUAUCAUGCAAGCUAUGAUUUAAAUUUCUCCUCAAAGAUGUCUGUCUAUAAAUGAUAAAGUUGUUCAGAGCCUGGAGGUAAAACUUCAUGUUACUAAAUGUCUAGCACCAGUAAUGGCACCGUGUUCUCAAAUAUUUCAAAAACCGAGUUUAGGUCCCCUAGAGGAAAUACAUACACAGAGCAUGCAGGUUGGCUAGCAUGAACUUGCUCAAUUACAGCCCACACUACAUGUUUCAGGAGCUGUGUCUCUAAGUUCUUCUUAGACUCAGAUGAUCUGCUGCUUCCACUGACCUGUAGUUUAGCUUGGCUCUUUCCAUUGAAUUUGUAGGGAGCGAGAAAUUGAUAUUCCUGUUGGAAAAAAUACAACUCACCCAAAUGUUUUUCUCCUAUUCCUUCUAAAUUUAACUAUUUUUCCAUCUAUCAUAUUAGGAAAAUACAACUACUUUUAAAGUAUCUGCUUCUAAGGUUGCCAAAUAAUUUCCACCCACGUCCCUCUUCCUCCCUCUAGGCUUCCAGUAGAAUCAGUUACAAGAAAUAUGCUUAGCUAACACACUAUCCUUCCAAAACAUAUGCUUUGAUUCCAUUCUUUCCACGUUGAAAAUUUCCUAUAUUCUGGAAGAAUUGAAACAUUAUUUUUGUUUUAAAUUUCCAUAAAAUUAAAGAGACAUAGUCUAACGUUGAGUUGCUCAUAGUUAUUUAAACAUGUUGAAGAAUUUUUGAAUAGUGUUAAUAUUCUUCAUGCGAUGUAAUUAUGGCCAUGUAUGCGAUGUAACUUGUCAAAGCCAUGUUAGAAUCAUACUGGAAGAGGAUGUGUUAGGAUCAUACUGGAAGGAGACUGGCUCUUGGCUCAGUGUCAUCUGCCUGGUGGGUGAGAUGAGAGCUCUCAUACACAGAGGAGACAGACUCGCUGUAAAACUGAACACCAGCAUCAAGGAAUAUUCAUGAGGACUUGGAAAGAAUACUCCUUUGUCUGUUAAGUCUGACAAAAAUUGGAUCAUUUUACUUAAUACAAAAAUGUUAACUAUAGACCUAAACCUAUAGUCAUAUAAAUGUGUGAAUCGGAGGCAGGAGAAUCACUACGAGUUUAAGGCCAUCUGGGCUACAUAGUGAGUUUAAGAUCAGCUUUGUAACAUAACAAAACCCUCAAAAACACCCCCUAGCCAAACGCCCUCUAUUCAGCAAUAGUUUAUAGAUAAAUUAGUGCAAUAAUUUAUAGAUAAUAUUAGCUGAAUUAACUAGUUAAUCCUCCCUCUCAGAGCUUGAAAAGGGCACAAGAGGGUUGACUCAACGCUCCUCUUUGUGAGGUCAUUC